GGGGGCUCAGUGGUAGAGUGCUUGCCUCACAUGCAUGAGGCCCUGGGUUCUAUUCCUUGGCCCCA
rnacentral:tRNA from 1 species